UAAUAAGUGUUUUAUGGCACUUUUUAAAUCCAUAUCCACCUUGUGUGCAAUGUCAGGUCGAUCUUUCUUUUUCGUAAGAAAAGGAUCGACCAAACAUCAACCUUUAUUUCUAAUUGAACUCUUUGUCUGAAAAAAUAUUAUGAAUAAACUAAUUCAAAAUA
rnacentral:misc_RNA from 1 species